rnacentral:rRNA from 1 species
GAUGAACGCUGGCGGCGUGCCUAAUACAUGCAAGUCGAGCGAACAGACGAGGAGCUUGCUCCUCUGACGUUAGCGGCGGACGGGUGAGUAACACGUGGAUAACCUACCUAUAAGACUGGGAUAACUUCGGGAAACCGGAGCUAAUACCGGAUAAUAUAUUUAACCGCAUGGUUCAAUAGUGAAAGACGGUUUUGCUGUCACUUAUAGAUUGAUCCGCGCCGCAUUAGCUAGUUGGUAAGGUAACGGCUUACCAAGGCAACGAUGCGUAGCCGACCUGAGAGGGUGAUCGGCUACACUGGACCUGAGACACGGUCAAGACUCCUUCGGUAAGCAGCAGUAGGUAAUUUUGCGCAAAGGGUGAAAGCCUGACGGAGCACCGCCGCGUAAGAGGUGAAGGUCUUCGGAUCGUAAAACUCUGUUAUUAGGGAAGAAAAAAUAUGUAAGUACGUAUGCACGUAUUGACGGUAACUAAUCAGAAAGCCACGGCUAACUACGUA